CGCAAACAGCAGAGAAAAAACAGAACCCCAGAUCCACCGCUCCCCAUUUCUAUCCGCGGCCAUGGCCUCCGCCGAUGCCGACGCCGGGACCUGCCCGUGGGACGCCCUCCCGUCGCACCUCCAGGAGCGCAUCCUCUCCCUCCUCCCCAUCACCGAGCUACUUCCCGUCGCCGCGGUGUCCCGCGCGCUCCGCCGCCUCCUGCGGUCCCCGGCGUUCCACGCCCUCCUAUCCCCGCACCGCCUCGACGCCUUCUUCCUCCUUUCCCCACGGCUCGCCGUCCACCCGCUGUCCCGCCGCGUCCUCACUUUGCCUGCGCUCGCCGCGCUCUCUCCCCCUUCCUACCCGCUCGUCUCCUCCCCGUCCCCAUCGCUCCUCAUCACCUGCGCCUCACUCCAGUUCCUCCCGCCGAUCCCCGACGGAGCCUACCUCCUCUCCGUUAUCGUCCCGUCGCGCCGCUCCUCCCCCUCCUGCACCCUCGUCGCUGUCACCACCGGCGCAGCCGUGCGUUCUCACACCCUGGACACCGGCGAUCCCUCCCCGCGUUGGGCGUCUAGAGGCGAUCUCCCGCUGUCUCUCACGAUCCUGGGAAACGCCGCAGUCGCCCGUGACCGCGGCAAGCUCUUCGUCCUCGGCCGUGGUCCCGACGCGCUCUUGGCUUUUGAUCUCGUGACGGGGACAUGGGAGGUGCCGCCUGUUGUGAUGCCACAAGGUCUCACUACGGCGCACCUGUUUGUUUUUGAUGGGAGCCUGUUCUUAGUAGGUGGGAUCGAGAGCUUUGGAGAAGUGGAGCGGGUGGUGGUCUGGCGGCUGGACGUCGAUAAGGAGGAGGUGUGGUGGUGGAGGGAGGUGAGCGAGAUGCCGACCGAGGUUUUCGAUGAGUUGCUGGCUGGUAGGUUUGGCAGUUUCUGGCAUUUUCAGGCUGCGGACAGAUUGGGGAUUGUUUGCUUGUACAAUGCCGUGGAUGGGAGGCUGGUCAUGUUUGAUGCAUCUGAUGGCGCGUGGACUGUGCUGCCACGAUUGUCUGGGUUGGAUGCAGACGAGAGCCUCAGGUGGUUUGGACAUGUCUUGGAGCCAGGAGUUGAAAUCUUGAUGGGACUACGUUGAUCUCAUGUUCACGUCAUUAAACUCACAAAGCUGAAGUUACUAAAAGAGGUGUAUGCAAGUUGCUGGCAAUUACCAAUGCAUUAGAGCUCCUGAAGGUUUCUUUUACUCAGCUCAUCAUCGUGUUCAGAAGCACAAGCUGCAUUAAUGUGUAACUUUUCACAGAGCAAAAUUCUUACCAUCCUUUCCUUUUGGAGAGAGAGAGAAGAACUUCAUGUCGGAGAGCUUCUCAUUUCACCUUCCUUGCCAAGUGAAGGAGGUGGUGAGGCCGAUGAUCCUAACAACUUCAGUACUUCCAUGGAAGAUAGGAGUAGAUUUGAUGACAAUGCCCACAAACACAAGGCUGUGGACAUCAAAAUCAGCAUGCAGUCUCUCAAUUUGGUUAUUGAUAUGCUCGCGAGGUUUCAGCUGACCAUUAAGGAGGACGUUAUCCAUAGGAUGGAUGUAUUGAAUCCACAGAUGUUUUCCCUUGCUCCCAUUGGUUUAUACAGACAUGCAUGACCUAGGUGCGAAGGCUUACAAUCGAUAAACACUAUUCAGGUGUUUGGUGAACCUGUGCCUACUUCUCCAACGAUACUGCGGAGUCUUUUGAAGCAAGGUCAGUGGCGAAGCCAGAAGAUUUUAGGAGCCCGGACAAUUCUCAUUAAGCAAAAAUAUUUAAUUAUAAAAUUACAGAAUUUUAUAUAAAUAUAAAAAAAAUUUCUUUUACAUCUUGGCGAGGAGCCCGGCCCUCCGCCAGUGAGCAAGGUCACUGUAAGUCUGUAAGGCCCAGUUUAGUUCCCUACCUAAAAUUUUUUCAUCCA